rnacentral:tRNA from 1 species
GUCCCUGUUGCGCAAUGGAUAGCGCGUUGGACUUCUAAUUCAAAGGUCGUGGGUUCGAAUUCCACCUGGGAUG